GACGGGGGCCCGCACAAGCGGUGGAGCAUGUGGUUUAAUUCGAUGAUACGCGAGGAACCUUACCUGGGCUCAAAUGUAUGUUGACGUAUUCUGAAAGGGGUACUUCUUCGGACAAUAUACAAGGUGCUGCAUGGUUGUCGUCAGCUCGUGCCGUGAGGUGUCGGGUUAAGUCCCAUAACGAGCGCAACCCCUAUCAUUAGUUGCCAUCAGGUCAAGCUGGGGACUCUAAUGAAACUGCCUACGCAAGUAGUGAGGAAGGUGGGGAUGACGUCAAAUCAGCACGGCCCUUACGUCCAGGGCUACACACGUGCUACAAUGGCCGGUACAAAGGGCAGCUACUUCGCGAGAAGAUGCUAAUCUCGAAAGCCGGUCUCAGUUCGGAUCGAAGUCUGCAACCCGACUUCAUGAAGCUGGAAUCGCUAGUAAUCGCAGAUCAGCCAAGCUGCGGUGAAUACGUUCCCGGGCCUU
rnacentral:rRNA from 1 species